UGGAGCAUGUGGUUUAAUUCGAAGCAACGCGAAGAACCUUACCUGGCCUUGACAUGCUGAGAACUUUCCAGAGAUGGAUUGGUGCCUUCGGGAACUCAGACACAGGUGCUGCAUGGCUGUCGUCAGCUCGUGUCGUGAGAUGUUGGGUUAAGUCCCGUAACGAGCGCAACCCUUGUCCUUAGUUACCAGCACGUAAUGGUGGGCACUCUAAGGAGACUGCCACCGUAAGGUGAGAGGAAGGUGGGGAUGACGUCAAAUCAGCACGGCCCUUAUGUCCAGGGCUACACACGUGUUACAAUGGUCGGUACAGAGGGCAGCUACCUGGUGACAGGAUGCUAAUCUCGAAAACCGGUCUCAGUUCGGAUCGAAGUCUGCAACUCGACUUCGUGAAGCUGGAUUCGCUAGUAAUCGCGCAUCAGCUAUGGCGCGGUGAAUACGUUCCCGGGCCUU
rnacentral:rRNA from 1 species